AAUUCUGUUUGCAUACAAUUCCUAGCCUUAAUUUAUCAAAAUGAGAGAUUUAGGCGGGAAAUUACAAAAAUAUUUAGCGGUCAUGUCAAGGAUUUGAAGUUUUACGGUACAAAUUAUAAAACGCCAAAACCUAGGGUUUCAAAGGAAAAAGGGGAAAAUGGAAGACUCUAUCAACGGUAGAAGAUGCGGCAGUGCCAGGGGAGGCAUCGAAGAGAACGUUUUAGCUAUCCUCGACGCCACCGAUUCCAAAGACACUCAAGACGCCAACGACGACAGGAUUGCUUUUAUAGAAGCUGUUCGCGCUGCUUCUAUUGAUCGGGAUGAUGGAGCUCCUCCAACCAACAAAAUGUACGAGGCCGUUUUCCAAAUUAUGAGGGUUGGGAAGUCUCUGGAAUUGAUUAUGGAAAGUUUUCGGCUUUUGAAUGAGCUAGAUGAGGUGCUUCAUGGCUUUUCUUCUGUUACUCUUGCUAAUUCAAUCCAAUUUAUAUUUGCAACUUCUUAUGCUUUGAGGAUUCUAACUACUCCCUUUGAGAUAUUUUCUUUUGUUCUUUUGUGGUUUGUUUAUCCAUAGCGUUUCCCACGAGUUUAUUUAUCAAAUACAGGCGCAUCAGGGUCAUCUGAGCUAGUGGUGGUUGAAGAGGCAUUAAGUCUUUUGCCCUUUUCUUUUUUUUUACUGUUGUAUUUUAAGUUCUAUGCUUCUUUGUGUUGAUGGUAAUAGAUCCUACCUUUGAUUUUGGUUGCCUAUUAGGCUUGGUCGCCAUUUGUUUUUAAUUUGGAUAUUACUUAUGGCGAAAAAGAAUCUGCUGGAAAAAGCUCUGGUGGAACAUUUGACUCAUCGGUGAGUUGGAUAUGCUUUGGCCAACUUUAAUAUUAAGUCUGAAAUCUGAAUCAUGAUAUAUUUCUUAUGAAUUGCAACUCGAUAUGAAUUUUGUUUACAUGUUUCCACCAAGGAAUGGGCAUUUACUUCUUGUCCUAUAUGUGAGUGUUGGUAAACUUCGUUUAUAAUUGACUUCUCUACUGUUAUGUGAUCACUUUUUAUGUUUUACAUCUUAUUUUCUGUUAUUGCCAUUAGGGGGAGUAGAUGGCAUGGGGGAUAGAGUUUUAUUGCAUAUAGGUUCAUGAUUAAAAACUCAGUGGUUUUUUCUUGUUGCCCUAAGAUUCCAGCAAUGAGUAAUGUUCCUGGCUCUCAAUAAAUUCUUUACAGUUAUUUGUACAUGAAUAUUGGUAUUUUUCGCUCAUGAAUUGCAAUAUUAUUUUUCAUUUGAUUGUUUGUACCACUUUCAGGUUUUCCAUCUGUUUAUACAAGAUCUUGUUGAAAUUGUCAAUGAAAAAGGCCUUCAAACAUUGGAAAUAAGGUCCCUGGGGAAGAUGUUGCUGUUUCAGUACCUUGUCAAUGUCCUUGAAGGAGAUUUUGUACCACGUAACAAAGCUUAUAAAGAAACCAUGAAUUGGAUGCUUCUAAGAGAGUCCUUGCUCUGCAUGCUUCUGAGUUCAAGAAGAGUAAACUACAAAUCUCUAAUGAAGGAUUGCUUGUCCAUUAUGUGUGGACUUUGUCAAUUUUCUUCUGAAUUGAGUGAUCCGAAACCUUCUGAUAGUUCUGUGGCAAAUCCAUCUCAAAAUGUUAAUCCUGCUAUAGCAAUUGCUAUACCUGAAGUGAGAAGCAGCACUUGUACUGCUAUUCAGAAGCUUCUGACAAUUAUUAUGGAGCUUGAUGUGUCAAGAAAGAAAGCAGAUGCCCAAGGUUGUACCACCAGAGUUGAUGGUGUGAGAACCCCUCUGGUUGAGAUAAUUCUAGAUGAGUUGACUUAUGAUAGAGAUAUGCUUUCCCAAUUUUUUGAGCCUUCUGUUCGCACUCGGAGGUCUAAUGGUCCAACAGAGGAUGAUGGGACUUUCACUGGGGUUUUGAAGGGCUUUUCAAACAUCACUAGCACCAAGAACAUUACUAAAAAGAUCAGUAUAGAUGUAGUUCAGAUACUUUUGGCACAUGCUUUUCAGGUGAUUGUUACUAACCCCCUCAGUAUACAUUCAUGCCUUGAAAUUUAAUGUUAUGUCUAUGAUGAAUGCUGUUUUUCUAUAAGAGUAACUUUGGAGAGGUAUUUACGUGGGUGCAAAGUUCUUUUCGUAGUGCAAUUGUUGAAAUUAAGUCUGUGUUUGUUAAAUUGAUAGCUCUAGCUGAUCAAAGAGUUGGCUACUUUGAAGUGGGAAUCUCCUAUCAUCUCACAUUGUCUUCCUAAACCACAAGGAUAUAAAAUAAAUUUGGGAUCCAAUCUGAUUAUGAGGACACAAGCUCUAGGAUUUCUGAAAGGAUUAUUGCACCCUGUUAGUGUAUUAUUGGUCGUUGGUGAUUUUACCUAGUGUCAUAUAUCAACAUAAGAGGCAAAGAAAAUAAAGAAACUUCAUUGAGAAAGUACCAACGGAAUUGUGGAUUCAUAUUAUCGGUAGAUAAUUUGUAAACUUCAACAGUAGGAACAUUGUGAUAUGGGAAUUUCAAAGUGCGGAGAUUAGAUUCUAAUUUAAAUUGGUGUUAUACAAAGUGAAAUUUAUGGGGAUUGACAGCUCCUGCCCUAUUACUAAUUUUAAUUUGCUUAAACAAGUGAAUUCUUUUUUAGGCUUAUUUGUCAAUACAACCAUCUCAACAAGAAGCUGAAGGCAUCUUUGAUUUUGAUAAAGUGAGAAGCGACUCUCUUGUGGAAAUAUGUGAGAACGUAAUCUCUGCGUUUAGUAAUUUGAAAAGAAUAAAUGAGUAAGACUUCACAGCUAUUUCUUCUUAAUAACUUUGUUUAGCAACUUCUACUUGCACACAAGUAAGCAAGUUUUGCACAAGCAGCAUGGCUUUGUGUGUAAUAAAUUUUACUCUUAGUGGUAUUUUCCAUAUUAAUUUUCUUUUUACCCCAUUUUUAAUCAAGUUUAAACGUUUAUAAAAUUUUAUUUCGCGUCAUGAUGCAGCAGCAAGGAGAUUUUACCUUUUGGAAAAGAAGCAAUAUUUACAGCAGCAAAUAUCCUAUCAAUAAAGUCAUAGGAGCUCGUUUCUGGAUGAUGCAGGUAACAUUUUCAAACUUCUACUGCAUGUGCGUGUUUCUUUAGGGCGCUUGUAAAGUUCAUUGUAGAAAGGAUGAUGUUUCUACUUAGAUUCUUCCCUUCUCUUUGCAUUACCUUAUUUGAAGCCAAAUGCCCAAUACUUGAGACGUCUUGUAUUGCAUUUUGCACGGAGGCCAUACCAUUGUAACCGAUAGUCAUUGUUUAUGCAGGCAAGAUUGCUGGUUUCUUUCUAUCCUUUUUUGCCUAGGCCUUGACGUAGAUAUUACAGAUUAAGUGAAACCUUUUUGCCCAGGGCUGCCUUAUCAUUCCGCUUGCUCCAGUAGGCCAUGUAAAUAAAAUUACUAGUGCUUUCAAGUUCCAAUUUGAGGGUGUAUAUGUACUUACAAAUUAGUGUAAUUUUGUAUAUCAAAUCCGCAUGAAUUAUAAAACUUUCUAAAGCCUCAUUUGGAAGUGUCAUUGGAAAAUCCAGAUCUGCUUCAGUCUUUAGUCUGAUAUUAUAUUACAUCAUCAAGGGAAAGUAGUUACCUAUGAUGCGGAAUAAUUCCCUCAAAAUGAUGGUCAGUAGCCUUCUUUGUGUUUGCAGAAAUGAGCUAGUCAUAGCAUUCGAUGUACCUCAAGAAGAGAGAAAGAAAUGAUCUUUGAAACAAGAGCAAGUAUAAAACUUGGUUACUAUGAUAAUCAUUAUUGACUGGCAAUCUUGUCCAGUUAAAUCUUUAGCCAUAUAAGAAGAGAAAAGAUUUAGAUAAAGUCUCUGCUGCAUUUUUCUGCCAGGCGGAAUUGGCAGGAAGAUCUUACUCCAGUAGAAUUGAAAUAAUUGCAAACUAAAGACAGCUUCAACUUAAAUUAGAAAUUGUUUUGUACUCUAUCAUCUCAAAAGUUCAGAACAUGUGGCUAUGCAGAUGUUGAUGAAAAUGCCACAUGACCAAUUUAUGGUUCUUCUGCCCCGUUUGCAUUCUUGGAUGAUUGUAGUGAGUCAAGCUGCAUUGUUACUGGUCCAUCGUUAGCUAGAUUAACCUUCAUCAUUGCUCCAAAUACACCAUCUGAACAAAAAAAUAGGAAAAUAAGUCAGAACAAAAAAUAAAAGACAAGAUUUUCAAGCGUUAAGAAAAACAGAAGCAAGAAGUCAUUUCCAUAUGAAUUGUAUCAUACAAUUAUCUAUCAAACUUUGACAUUUCCAGCAGAGAUACAACUACGUCAAGAGCAUGUCUUCUAUCUCCAGCUAUCCACAAGUUCUAGCAUUCUAAAUAUUUGCACAAGCAGAAAUGUCACAAGAUUCAUUAAAAAAUUCCAUGUAUUUCAGCUACAAGACUUCAAAAAUUAAUCCAAGAGGUAGUAAUCAAACUAAAUUGUAAAUAAUUUAACCUCUGCAGAUACAAUCUUGCUUAAAUAUAGGGUGAUAGUGAAACAGAAAUAAAAACAUAAAUGGAGAAAAACAAUUCAAUUUUUGAGCAAUUGCAGCAAUAAAAGAUGAUGAAACACAUAGGAUACCAAUCAUGUUGCAACAAACCAUGUCUUUCCAUGAUCCAGAAACAUAGUAAUAAAGAAUUCACAGAAAUGUCUUGCUUAAUUAGUAUCAAAUGGCUUGGUGAAAUUAACAACAUUAGAAGUUCUGUCUCACUCAUAUUACCUUAUGAAUUAGGCAAGUAUAACACCAAUGGAAUUACACAUGACAAUCAAAAGAAUGAGGGUACCUUUUAUGGCAUCUGGCCUGUAUGAUUUCCUAAAUUUUUCGACUAAUGAAUCAUAGAAUGGUUUUGCUUUCUGGGGUGGCAUCGCUACAUGGAAGUCUGGCUUGUUUCCCUUCAAGAUUCCAUACAAUGUAAACUGACUCAAUUCUGGUCCCAGACUCUUCCGGCAGUUUCAUUUGGGAACAAUCUCAUAGUUAAUACCUUCCGGCAUAUGUAAUCGGCAUCAGAAUCGGUGUCGGACUCGUGGAGACCGACAAGGACGAGAAGGCCUGGCCCAAUCUCCGAUACCACACGGCCUUCGACCUCGACGCUGGCAGAGGUAACUCGCUGGACGACAGCUCUCAUGGCUCUAAUUUGAGACCUUGUUCUGUUAGUAGCAAAGCUGGCGGUGGCGGUGGCGGUGGCCGCGGCGGUUGGGGCGUGGCAGUGGCUGUUAACGAAGCGUAAAGUUGUCCAGGACGGAAGAGUGGAGAGGCAGCAGUAGUUCAUUUGGAC
rnacentral:misc_RNA from 1 species